UACAGAGGUGGCAAGCGUUGUUCGGAAUUACUGGGCGUAAAGGGCGCGUAGGCGGCCUUCUAAGUCAGACGUGAAAUCCCCCGGCUUAACCUGGGAACUGCGUCUGAUACUGGGAGGCUCGAGUGCGGGAGAGGGAUGCGGAAUUCCAGGUGUAGCGGUGAAAUGCGUAGAUAUCUGGAGGAACACCGGUGGCGAAGGCGGCAUCCUGGACCGACACUGACGCUGAGGCGCGAAAGCUAGGGUAGCAAGCGGG
rnacentral:rRNA from 1 species